AGUACUUGGGACAAGUCACUCUCUCUCCUCUCCGAAAUAGUGAUUUUUUUUCAAAAUUUUUUUUCAUCCUCUUCGUCAUGGAAGAGUAAUCUAUAGGCUAACCUACGGGUGAUCAAAGGGUUAUGAGUUAUGAGGAGAGGAUCUGAUUGUUUUGAUUGGCAUAGUGGUGAUGAAAUUUUAUGUUUUUUUCAUCUUGUUUUCUUAAUUUAAGUUGAUUUAAUUUGGAUCAUUUCUUCUGUCCGGGUUAGAAUGCAAGCUGUGGUUCCAAUUGACACAGGUAUCUACUCGGACUGAUGCUUUUGUUUUCGUUUUUUGAUUGAAUCUCGUUUUCCCCUUUUCUAGGUUGUUGUGGGUAUUGUUGUAUUAGGUACAACAACAACGGGGGAUUUGAUAUUUUUUCGUUCAAAAUUCAUUUUUGUUCUUAAUUAGAUAUGUCCCUGCUUUAAUUCUUCUAGCUCCAUAGUUUCUUCUCUCCCUUAGGUUGUCGUCGGUAUGGUAAUAUUUCAUACCAAACAACGGGGGUCUUGAAAUGUGAAUCGAUUUUUGGUCUGAGGUCCUUAAGAUUGGUGAUUUUUUCUUCUUAUUUUGGUUACCUGGAAUUGAGAUUGAUUAAUUAGUGGAUGUACCCCAGUUGGGUCUGAUGGGUCUAUGGAUGGGAGUUUGGCAAUUCAUUUCUUUGCCUAAAAUCCCAAUGGCUAUUGGGUAUGUUUUAGUAUAUGUUGCCUUUAUGGUGUUUGAUAAUAGUCCUGUGUGUAAUUGGGUUCUUAUGCUUCCUUUUGGUGUUAAUUGAACACUUGAGUCUCUUCUGUUUAGUCUGCAAUUUUAUCUUAAAUUAAGUAAUCAAUGGCUUUUUACCCUUGUUCAGGUGUAUGUGCAUCUGAUAAUGUCAUUAUUUCAAGUAUUCUACGACAGGUUUAUUUUAGAAACCAGUGUAUGUGCACUGUUUUAAAAGAAUUCAUGCUUAACUUCCUAGUUUCUUUUCAAAAAAGUUGGUAUUUCACAAGUCCUUAGAUGAGAUUGGCUUCUCGCUUCUGAAAAGGGAAUUUGAUUUCUGAAAAACAGCCGACUCAUUUUGUUCUCUUUCAUUUAUAAAUGGUGGUUUUUUAUGCAGAUUAAGUGAUCUGUUAUGUUUUUAUUAAAAAAAAAUGGUUAGUCCUUUUAGAGUGAUGAUUUCUUAUUAAGCAGAUUAAGAGAUCUGUUAUGUCUUUUUUUUGAAAAAACUGAUGUCUUUAUAGUGUUGGUUUCUUUGUAAGCAGAUUAAAAGAUUUGUUGCAUCUUUAUUAGAGGAGAAAAAGGUUACCGAGCGGGUGAUUUUUUAUUUAACAUUAUAAAACUUGUUUGUCUAAACUUAAUGAGUUCUUUGGAGUUAACAUUGGUAGGAUUAAAAUGGUAGUCUCUUAGUAAGAAAAAUUUGUAGGGCUCGUUGCAUAUGAUCGGUUUUAGGCUAUAGGACAGCCUCAAAUGUAUUCUCAUAUAAAUUCAUUGAGUGAUUAGUGGGUUCUAGUUAGUAAUAUGACUGGGAGAAAUUCCAGUCACUUUUCUUUUUCUGUGUAUUGCUUAUAUUGCGAAUUUAUAAAUUAUUUUGAAUAAGAUCAUCACUUUUCUACCAGUCAUAAAAUCACAUCUAAACCUCCACUCCUCUGACCCGAUAAAAUCCGAAGGUAAGCUGACCUCGUCUUUGAUUUCUCUCUUUCAAAUUACCCCUGUCUUAAUCUCCUUUGCGUUUCUUUCAAGAUUUUCUGUUGCAUGUUUCUGGUGAUUCAAUCUAAAGUGCUUUCUAGUGUAUCAACAAACAAGAGUUCUCAGAAGGAAACCAGAUCAGUACAAUGUAUGGCUUAAAGGUGAUAUGAAUUCUAUUUCCAUGGCAUUAGCUGCAACCAAAUGUUGGUUCAUUUGGAAAGAGAGAUGUUUCAGGGUGUUUGAAAAAAAAGAGAGAACACCAGAGCAACUUGCAACUGAUAUCCUGCGCCAAUUCACAUAUUGGGAUCCACAUAACAGUAGUAUUAACCAGCAGAAACACAGAAGAAAAAAAACUGCACAGAACAUCCAAUGGAUUUUUCCUAGCAGAGACGGCAUUAAGCUAAAUUGUGAUGCCUCUUGGGUGUCAAAACAUACUAAUGCAGGUUUUGGUUUUGUGUUGCGCAAUUGGCUAGAUACAGGAAAAGGAGCAGGAAUGGGAAUCUUCAGGGCUUCAACAACAGAAGAAGCAGAAGCUCUAGCUCUUUUGCACACAACAAGAUGGGCCAUAGAAAACAACCUGCAGAAUUUGGUCAUCGAAGGCGAUAAUCAAGUGACUAUUAACUAUUUACAAGGAAAGGAAGUUUCAGUACAAUAGCAGAGUUUAGCAAUAUUAGAAGAAGUAAAGGUUGCAGCUACAAAACUAGUAUUUUUUUGGGAUUUCAUCGUGUAGACAUGCGCGCUAACAAGGUGGCUGAUUUGUUAGCUAAAAAGGGAAGACAAGAGAAUUUGACAGACUUUUGGUUUAAUGAUGUACCUAUGUUUUUAAUUCCUUCAAUGGUUUUAGACACUGUCAAAGCUCAAAAUAUGUGUAAUUUAAACCAUGUUGUACUCACUUCAGAUGGCGUUAAUUCUGCAGAUUCAGUCAUCGGAGGAACAAAUCAAACUGAUUUGAUUUCCAAUGAGCCUGAAUCAAACAAUUAACCCUCUCCUUUGGUAAUCCAUGCUACUUUCAAAAAAAAAAAUGUGAAACUAGUACUUUUAUUAUUUUAUUUGAA